ACACGACUACAUUAGAUACCCGUGUAGUCCUAGCCGUAAACGAUACUCGCUAGGUGUCGGCCACGGUGCGACCGUUGUCGGUGCCGUAGGGAAGCCGUGAAGCGAGCCACCUAGGAAGUACGGCCGCAAGGCUGAAACUCAAAGGAAUUGGCGGGGGAGCACCACAACGGGUGGAGCUUGCGGUUUAAUUGGAUUCAACGCCGGAAAUCUUACCGGGACCGACAGCAACAUGAAGGCCAGGCUGAAGACUUUGCCGGAUUAGCUG
rnacentral:rRNA from 1 species